UCUGGGACAAGCCCUGGAAACGGGGUCUAAUACCGGAUAAUACUCCUGCCUGCAUGGGCGGGGGUUGAAAGCUCCGGCGGUGAAGGAUGAGCCCGCGGCCUAUCAGCUUGUUGGUGGGGUAAUGGCCCACCAAGGCGACGACGGGUAGCCGGCCUGAGAGGGCGACCGGCCACACUGGGACUGAGACACGGCCCAGACUCCUACGGGAGGCAGCAGUGGGGAAUAUUGCACAAUGGGCGAAAGCCUGAUGCAGCGACGCCGCGUGAGGGAUGACGGCCUUCGGGUUGUAAACCUCUUUCAGCAGGGAAGAAGCGAAAGUGACGGUACCUGCAGAAGAAGCGCCGGCUAACUACGUGCCAGCAGCCGCGGUAAUACGUAGGGCGCAAGCGUUGUCCGGAAUUAUUGGGCGUAAAGAGCUCGUAGGCGGCUUGUCACGUCGGAUGUGAAAGCCCGAGGCUUAACCUCGGGUCUGCAUUCGAUACGGGCUAGCUAGAGUGUGGUAGGGGAGAUCGGAAUUCCUGGUGUAGCGGUGAAAUGCGCAGAUAUCAGGAGGAACACCGGUGGCGAAGGCGGAUCUCUGGGCCAUUACUGACGCUGAGGAGCGAAAGCGUGGGGAGCGAACAGGAUUAGAUACCCUGGGUAGUCCACGCCGUAAACGUUGGGAACUAAGUGUUGGCGACAUUCCACGUCGUCGUGCCGCAGCUAACGCAUUAAGUUCCCCGCCUGG
rnacentral:rRNA from 1 species